AUGGCCUCGCCGAAGCUCGCCGCCGGCGACGGCAGCUACGACUUCCACCUCCGCUCGCUCUCCGCCGCAUCACGGGACUCCGCCGCGGCCGCCGAUCCCGCCUCCGACCCCAACCUCCUCCAGUCUGUGCGGAUGGUGUUCGAGAUGUGCAAGGAGGCCAAGGGGGCCAACGACGAGAUGGUGGCGCGGGCGUUCCCCGUGAUGAACAAGCUCUUCCAGCGCUGCGCCGCCGCGCCCACGCUCUCCACGGCCUCCACCGGCGUGCUCCUUCUGACCAUUCUGCAGUUCUUCCUGGACUUUGGGGAGGCGGUCUUGCACGACGCUGAUGGUAGCUUGAAAACCUUCUUCCGCUCUUGCUUAAGUAGGGAGUUUUCAGACCCUAUUGUCGCAGAACGCACGCUUGAAUUCCUGAUAGCGAACAAGACGAAGAUCUUGAACUGCUUCCCCACCCUGGUUCCGCAGUUCUUCCCAUUGCUGCUGAAGUUGAUUGCAUCAAAUGGUGAUAGGUUGGAUAAGAAGUUCUCAGAAGUGCUACCAUUGAUGAUGUCAGCAGGAUCUUUUCUUCCUCUCUUCCUGUCCCUUAUGGAUCUGCCAAUGUUAGUGGUAGCACUGGAAAAGGUGGAAAGAAGUUCUGGAACUCUCAUCGGUAGUAGUUUAGCUACUAUACAGAAGAGUGCUGCUCCUGAGAUGCUCCUUGCACUGAUGGAUGAGGCAUAUACUGGCUCCUCAAUAGAAGAUCAAAGUGGCAAUUCAGGUUCUGAUGAUAGUGGUCGUCUAGACCUUGCUGACCCAAUGUUCCUUGACCUUCUAAAAGACGAGAAUGAUGGCAUUGCUGCAAAACAUUGGACAUCCCCUACGAUAUCUUCAACGUUACAAGCUGCACUUAACAGCCCACAGUCUGACAGAUUAAAACAGUCACUGAAAAUGGCACCUCGCUUUCUUACUGUAUAUUUUGCGACAGCAUUGCGGGAUGUCAACAACUCACUCUUGUGUGCUCUGAUUCCAGUAGCUAUGUCAAGAUAUGCUGCGAUGUUCCCUGACAAGGAUUUUUCUUUCGAGGUGAGGAAAAAGCUGUCGGAUUUCUUAUUAGCUGCAUUCCAGCGCUCCCCUGACAUCAUUGCGCUACUAAAGAAGCCUAUUACUGAUAGACUUGGGGAGGCCCAUGGUAAUCCUGCAAAGAUGGAAUUAGCAUUGCAUUUGUGUUGGGCCAUUGGUGAGCAUGGAGCAGGAGGGAUAAAGCACAAAGAUGUAGCACGUGAACUAUUUGAAAAUCUGGAGUUGCUACUAUACGAAAACCUGGCAACUAGUCGUUUGGGAUUAAGUCAAGACCCAGGGUUCGAUUCUAUGGGUGCAAGCUCUAGAAAGUCAUCCCAAGCUAGGCUCCUCUGCUUUGUGGUGACUGCCAUUGCGAAGCUAGCAACUUGCCAUAACGAGCUGCUUCCAAGAGCACGUGUGUCAUUGGCUAAGGUCGCUCGGUCCAGGACCUCAGACAGGCGAGUCUGGCAGCGCGCCUGUGACUAUUUAGGGCUCAUGAAUGAACCAGCCAUUUGUUUGUCUGUACUGGGACCAUCCACUGCCCAAGGAAAUGGUCCUGGGAUUGUGAACUGGAGCGAAGGAGGAACCAAGAUGGUAGCUCACAUUCCGUUUUACCUUUUAGCAGAACAGAAAGGUCCACCAUCUCAUGAUUUUUCAUAUGCGGACCUCCUCCCCGCAGAAUGA
rnacentral:rRNA from 1 species